UAGGGAAUCUUCCACAAUGGGCGAAAGCCUGAUGGAGCAACGCCGCGUGUGUGAUGAAGGGUUUCGGCUCGUAAAACACUGUUGUAAGAGAAGAAUGACAUUGAGAGUAACUAUUCAAUGUGUGACGGUAUCUUACCAGAAAGGAACGGCUAAAUACGUGCCAGCAGCCGCGG
rnacentral:rRNA from 1 species